rnacentral:lncRNA from 1 species
UAAGCACUCUGGAGAAAAAUAAACCAUGGAAGGUGGAUAGAAAGUUUGGAGGGAGGGUUGCACUUCUAUAUCAGAUGGUCAGGAAUGGCUGCCCUCAGAAGGUGGUAGGAUCGUUCCAGCUGCUGCACUGAGAAGUGACUGAGGGGGCACAGAGACAAAGUAGAGAGACCAGUUAUGAGGCAAAGAUCCAGAUGGGUCUUUGCAGAGACCAGAUUUGACUUCUGCUUCAUGAGAAAAUUUGAAAAUAUUUCUUUUAACAGGCAGGAGAAACAAUUUCUUGGCUGUUUUGACAAGUCUGAGAUGUUUAAGGAGUUACUGGCUGGAACUCGACACUGAUUAUCCUAAAGGAUUUCUAAGGGUUGUGCACUUGAAAAGGGGCCUGGGAACUGAGGAGAAGCCUAUGCUUUUAAAGUAAGAGCAGGUCGUAAGCUGUAACGCGGCAAGUGGAGGCUGAGAAGACGUGGACAGGAAGUUGCUACUGAGAAAUG